GUUGCAUUCACUAUAGUCAAGACUCACAGGCCUCACAAAUGUAGCAAGUUAUCGUUCAUCACUUUUCCUGAUCAAUCAUGGCAGCAUUUACUCAUGGGUUAGCUCCUCCGCUCACAGCAGAAAUGACAGGAAAUAGAACUCUGAAACUGGUAUAAAUAGACCCUCCCCUUUCCCAUCAGCCAGUCUUCCCCUCACCCUCCCUGUCUUUCACAGCAGUUUUGAAGGAGUCUGCUUAGGCAGGCCUAGAAUUUUCUUCUAUAUUCCCUGGGCCAAUGUUUUUGUAGCCCUGCCAGGGUUCAACCUCUAAGCCCUGGAGACCCAGCUAAUGGCACAUAUGUAAGAGUUGCCAGCCUGGGUAUGCCCUUUAGUGACCAGGGGUCUGAACCAAUCUCUCCCUCAGGGGAUGACAGUGGUCCACUGGAUACAUGAGGCUCAACUCCUUCCCUGAAGACCCAGUAAACUCCACUUCCAUAAAGUGACUACCUAGGUAUACUUAGUUUUUGUAUACCACCAUAUCCGGGGUCUGUUUUAACCCCUUAAGGACACCGCUUCAAAAGCUUGUCUUACACUUAAGGACACAAGCC